rnacentral:rRNA from 1 species
AGCUCCAAUAGCGUAUAUUAAAGUUGUUGCGGUUAAAAAGCUCGUAGUUGGAUUUCUUCUAGGGAAGACGGGUCUCGUUCUUAACGAUGUAUCUUUGUCUGCCUUGGAAUCUUCUCGAAAAUCGUUUUUGCGUUUGAUUACGUGAUUCGACGUUCGAGACUUUUACUUUGAGGAAAUUAGAGUGUUCAUAGCAAGCAGUCGCUUUGAAUAUAUUAGCAUGGAAUAAUAAUAUAAGACUAAGUACUUAUUUUGUUGGUUUCUAGGGACUUAGUAAUGAUAAAUAGGGAUAAUUGGGGUAUUUGUAUUGUCGCGUCAGAGGUGGAAUUCUUGGAUUGCGCUAAGACAAACUACUGCGAAAGCAUUUGCCAAGGAUGUUUUCA